GAUAAUGCUUCUUGAAGAUGAAGCUGAUGCAUUUUGGUGCUUUGAACGUUUGAUGCGUAGAUUGGUACUUCUCUAAUUGUCAUUGUUGUUUCCAAUUUUUCAUUUAAAGAAUGAUUGUUUGGAGUAUCGUUGUUUUUGUGUAUAGUAAACUUGCUUUGCUUGCCAUUCUUGUUCAAGUCGCUACAGCAACAAAGUUAAGAAUAAGAUUAAUUUCAAUUUUAUUGUUUGAAAUUUCAUCUUCGUAUUUUGGGAGUUGUUUGAACAGUUCUUGUACAAUAAUUGAGAUUGCAAUUUAUUCAUAGCUGAUUUGUACCCUUACCCUUCCUGAUUUUCCAACUUCCUUUAAUGGUUACAAGGAGGCCUCAAGUGCUUUUUGGAACUUCCGUUUCAAUAAAGCAUAUCAAAUCAUUUAGAAUUUCCAUGGAUUUAUUACAUUGCCUUGUUUUUAUUAAUACUUGUAGGCUUUGUUUCUCCAAUUCCUAAUGGCUUUUUCCUUUUCCAAUGAUAUUCUGUGGGGAUCUAUGAUAUCCCAUAUUUUAUUUGAGAUUCUUGUGCUGAUUGGAAAUAGAUAUAUUAGUUUUCUUUCUAUUAUUUUUAUAUGGCCAAUAGUAAAAUGUUUCUAUUGGUGCUUCCAUAGCUCUAGCUUCAUUUUUCUUUUUCUAUUUGAUUUUCAGUUCUUAUGAUUUUUCUUAUUUGAAUUUUAAAGCGAGGAAAUUUCAGAUGCACUGAGAGCUCUGUUGGGGUGGAGACACAA
rnacentral:misc_RNA from 1 species